UUUAUUUGGAUCUAGCUUAGGAAGGGAGAAAAUGGGCUUUCUCCUCCUCUCUGGCCAAGUGCAAAGUUCUUUGUUUAAAAAAGAAAGAGAGGCCAGGAGCGGUGGCUCAUGCCUGUAAUCCCAGCAGUGUGGGAGGCCGAGGCGGGUGGAUCACCUGAGGUCAGGAGUUCAAGACCAGCCUGACUGACAUGGUGAAACCCCGUCUCUACUACAAAUACAAAAAAAUAAUCCAGGCAUGGUGGCACAUGCUGUAAUCCCAGCAGGAGAAUCGCUUGAACCCGGGAGGCGGAGGUUGCAGUGAGCCAUGAUUGUGCCAUUGUACUCCAGCCUGGGCGACAAGAGCGAAAAUCCGUCUCAAAAAAGAAAAAGAAAAAAGAAAGAGAGAGAGAGACAGAACUAUUAAUUCGUACAGCAAAUGGUGCAGGGGUGUGCAUCCUGGAUGCUUUGGUUUUUAACACUUACUUGGCUAUCAGACUUAACUACUAAUUCAGCUGUCUUUCCAACCUAAAAAUGCUAGUUAGAGUUAUUUAGUCUAUGCAAGAAAAGGUGGUCACUUCAUUUUAAACAGGCUUGUGACUUUCCUUUUUUGUGUAAAUACUGACCCCCUAUAGUGAUGCUAUGAAUCCUGAUUCUAUCAUUUACUAGCUGCAUGACCUUGGGAAGGAAUCUUUCUCUCUGAACUUAUUUCUUCAACUACAAAAUGGAGAUAAAGUAGUUAAGUCACAGGGUUAUUGUGAAGUUUCGAGCCUACCCAGCUCAGUGCCUGAUAUGUAAUAGGUGCUCAACAAAUGGUAGCUGUCAUUUAUUAUUCCAGCAAGCUCCUCAAAUUGUCCUGUGUUUUCCAUAUCUGCCACAUAGUUAUUUCAGUGGCCAAGCCCUGAAGACUAACAGCUGCCUCUUGCGUUUUUUAAAAACUUGCUUUAAUUGCAAAUAACAGAAUCUGGCCACAGAAGAGGCACAUUCCCUGCCUUUCCAUUGAUUCCCAGGUUUCAGGAGCAAAAGCAAUUAUGGAAUCAAAUUACAGUAUCCUGAGGUACAACCCAGUCAUGGCUCCCCAUCUGAGGGAAAGAGGUAAAGUUGCAGGAAGAUGGCUCUAUGCUGUCUUUUGCAAAGCCCUCUGAUCUGCUUCAGGCCCGAAACCUGCCUCCAUGGGUGCCUGUCUCCUAUAUCUGGCAGAUGUUGCGGAGCUCAAGGACUCGCUGAAACUGAAUGAUCUGGCUCGUCCAGGGAAUCUCUUUACAGCCAGGUCAUCUACUGAAGAGCCAAGGCAAGAGCAAGUUUCUGUUAGCAAGGUUCCCUGGAACAAUUAACCAAGACUGACACAGGUCUCUUCCCCCAAAGAAGGGGCUGCAUGGUUCGGUG
rnacentral:lncRNA from 1 species